UAAAUGGAAGGAUCUUGCCUGUGAAGGGGGGAACUUCUGGGGAAAUAUUUACUCCAGAGGUAGAAGAAACAGUCUGAGGGAAAUUUCCUCUCUACAUCCUGAUGUCUGCAGCAAUCUUUCUUUGGGAAGUUAUCCACACUGAACACGUGGCUCCAAACUGAGCUUGGACUGUUUACUGUGAUGCUUGCAGGAAGAGAAAAUUUAUUUCUCUGCUGUGGCCUAAACUCAUAACAUAAAGUCAACGAUGAGAGAAUCAGAGCAGGCCCAAAAUGUUCUGGAGGAUGAAAGAGCUGAGGAGAGCACAGGGAAGCGGAGGGAGGAAGAGGAAGGGCAGGAGGCCCAUCUCGCCUUUCCGAGUGCAAAGAACCUGUUGGGAUAACCACACUCACCACCAGAGCAGGGUGGCAGAGGUAAAGGCCUUAGCUCCUUAGCUAAGGCCUCCCUUAGCUCCCUGCUGCAGGCCAGCUUCCUAAUGCCCACACCACCUCAGGAAGCCCAGCUGAUCCCAGCACAGACCGGGGGGGAUGCCAGGUGGGAACCAGGACGGUUGUAUCGCUCUGCCCUGCGGCAGGAGCAAGGCUCUUUGAAAGCACUAAGUGCUGGCAAGGGCCAGGACAGGACUAAUGGGCUACUAGCCUCAGGGGACUAAUGGGAUGGCUGAUAAGGACAUGGAUUUUGACAUUGCAGAGCAAAUAAGAAUUGGCAGGCAUUAACCUCAGACAUGUCUGCUACCUAGACAAAUCCAAGCCCCUCUGUCUUCGUUCUGUUUAGCAUAUUAAUGUUUAAUUCCAUUAGCAUCAGCAGCCGUGGCCACUGUUCAGCCCAAGAGCUGUUUGGAUGAGCCUCGGGAGGUGCCAUUUUUGGAAGGGGACCUUGCAGCUGGCCAGGGGCCAGAGAGCCCUGCCCAGCUCCUCAGCCAGCAGCAGUCCCUACGGCGUGGCUGCAGCUCACAGCAUCUGCCUCUUGCUCACAGUCCCAUGCUAAUUCAGCAUCAACCGCUGCUGCCGGAUCCAUGGGCUGCCUCCUUCCCCAAGCACUGCAACUGCGCUUCAUUGCUGUUUGUGGGGGGUGAUUUUCCCUCUCUCCUCUGCUUUCACCCCUUUCUCUUUCACUUUCAGGAUGCAAAUCCUUACUGCUGUACUACAUGCCUUCCAGGAGAAACAAGGUGGCAGGGGCUGAUUCCAGGCUGGAAAUAGGAUGGGGAAAGAGCUCAUCACAAAGAAAUGAACCAUGUUGAUUCAUCUUCUCCAGCCUCCCUGCUCUCCACUCCUUGCUAAGUGGUAGUGGCAGCAGCAGCAUGGUGUGCAGUGGUGCAUUUCCCUGCAUUCAACCCAGCAGUCCUGCACACCUCUGGAGAGCGGACUGAUCUCAGGAGAACAAGAAAGAAGCAGCCCCGAUGUCUGGUGCAAUUCCUUACAGAGCUUAGAAAUCUAAUCAGUAAGGUGGCCUUCUAUUUUUCUCUCCUCUCUCCCUUUAAUGCUUCCCUUUAAAUGAGAUAUUAAAAAUAGGAAAUAUUAAUUUGGCAGAUGGUGCAAUUGGGCUUUUGGCAGGAGACUGUACACUGUGCCGCAGAGUUACAGACCUCUGUCUCCACGCUGGAGCACUGAGCGAUGCUCUGGCUCCUCUCCAGGCAGUGCCUUCCUCCAGCUCUGGGUGCUGGGAGAGCUGUCUGGGGCAGAG